AUGGCCGCCCAACCCCGCACCCCUUCUCUAUAUGUAUUUAUCCACUAUCUGUGGCCCGAUUUCAUAUAUAAACGCAAGGACAUGCCAUUGCCGUCGUCCUGUUUCCUGCUGCUCUGCAAGUAAUUCGCAUAUUUGGCACGCCAGUCACCCGUGUUUUCCCCAUCGGCAUGUGUGGUGGUCCCCGUUCAUGUGGCGCGCUGGUAAUCGAUGGUCAUGCAAAUGAUGAGACGGACAUCCGAGUGCCUGCUGCUGUUUCCAGGACGAACAGCAGGACGAACAGCAGGACGAGUGGCAGGAGGAACAGCAGCUGCUGUUUCCUAAACAACACAACACAACACAUCGAUUGGAGGAUCGCGGUCGACCCGCAUGCAAAAACCGAUUACAACAAUCAUUAGCAGCAACGGCCAUUGUAAUUUUUGCCAUUUUCGCCCUUGCCACAACCAAACUUUGCAUAAAUUUCCAUGCAUCCUUCGCGGCAUUUUAAGCUGUGCGAAAAGCACUGCUUAACCCAUUAACUGAAUGGUGCUGAAGUUGCCCAAAGUGUUUGCAGCAUAUUUCGAAAAGUUUUGCCAUUGAUUAUGGGUGAACAACUUGAAAAACACGGGACAAAAAAGUGACUUUAAAUUCGUUUGGAUCAGCAGGAAAAACCGAUUCACAGCUGAUUCCGCUUAUUGGCUUACGUGCAACCUUACACUCCACAUGCGCCUACGUUCGUCGGGAUUCGCAGGAUGCAGGAUGCAGGAUGUCUCAACGUUGAGGGUAAAGUGCAUCAAUAUUGCAUUUUCCAUAUUACUCGUAUGUUUUACAGAGCUUUCUUUCUUGUCCGUGAUAAAUAAAUUGAAUGAAUCGGCUCAGUGAAAGCGGAUCGGUAACAUCGUAACUGGGGGGGAUGCACUUUAACGUUAAUUACUCUGCGUGUUUACCGCUCAUCGAAAUUUUAUGAGUGGCUGCGGAUGUACUGCACUUUUCGGGGUUAAGUGCCAAUGAGUACAGAUUUUCUCUGCCACAUUGCCACAUAUAUGUAGUUAGUAUACAAUUCAAUUUGAUUUUUAUACAUUUCCAAUAAUUAAAUAAAAAUUGCUGCACAUGUGGGCAUGGUACUCAAAAGA